AUGCAUAUAUGGUUCAGAUGAUUCCAUGUUUGGUUUUCUUUUCUUAUCAGAAACUUAUUCAGAAGCUUUAAGGUCGAGAAUUUUGUAGAGCGCGGAAAGUGCUUCUCAGCCAGUCCGUGUUCAGAGGACAAGUACUCAUUGCACAUAAAUUGUGGUGGAGGAAAUGUAACUGUUGGAGACACUACUUAUGUAGCAGAUGAAGACUCAGCAGGUGCUGCAAAAUUUGUUUACUGGAAAGGGAACUGGGGAACCAGCAGUACAGGACAUUUCUGGGAUACCAACGUAUCGUUGAAUGACCACAAAGC